rnacentral:rRNA from 1 species
UACGAAGGGGGGCUAGCGUUGUUCGGAUUUACUGGGCGUAAAGCGCACGUAGGCGGAUCGAUCAGUCAGGGGUGAAAUCCCAGAGCUCAACUCUGGAACUGCCUUUGAUACUGUCGAUCUGGAGUAUGGAAGAGGUGAGUGGAAUUCCUAGUGUAGAGGUGAAAAUUCGUAGAUAUUAGGAAGAACACCAGUGGCGAAGGGCGGCUCACUGGCCCCGGGUACUGACACUGAGGGCGCGAAAAGCGUGGGGGAGCAAACAGG